UACAGAGGGUGCGAGCGUUAAUCGGAAUUACUGGGCGUAAAGCGCGCGUAGGCGGCUUUGCAAGUCGGGUGUGAAAUCCCCAAGCUUAACUUGGGAACUGCAUUCGAGACUGCAUUGCUAGAGUAUGGGAGAGGGAAGUGGAAUUUCAGGUGUAGCGGUGAAAUGCGUAGAUAUCUGAAGGAACACCAGUGGCGAAAGGCG
rnacentral:rRNA from 1 species